rnacentral:tRNA from 1 species
GCCUGGGUGGCUCAGUUGGUUGAGCGCCUGACUUCAGCUCAGGUCAUGACCUCACAGUUCCUGGGUUCGAACCCCACAUCAGGCU